AUUAUAUCUGAGCUUGAAAGGUGUUCAUGAGUCUGCUUGGUAUCUAUGGCAAUAAAGUACUCUCCAAAUAGUUUUUCAUUCCCAAUCUUGAUAAACAUUCAUGCUAGACAUUAUAUGAAUGAAAACUAGCAGUCACUUUGCAUUAUCCUAACGUGGAUAGCACACACCAUUUGGAUGUUUUGCUUUUGAAAAUGCAUAAAGUUCUACAAUGGGAUCCAACAUGUGUACUGUUCUACAUUUCAUCCACUCGUCUGUCUCUUUCACAUUUCUUUCACUUUAUCUGCUCCCACUUGUAUCUGCUUACCCCUUCUGUCCCCCAUUUGUGUAUCUCUCCUCUUCUGACUUCACUUUUGACUCCCCACAACUCUCCUCAAUUUGUCUCCCACCCCAUCUUUUUGUCAUUUUUGUCCUUAUUCAUCUCUACCCAUUUGUGUUUUUACCUCUGUUUUUGCCUCUUAUCCUUUGUGACCCCAACUACUUAUGCCUCUGACCCUGAC